ensembl:Mt_tRNA
GGUAAAAUGGCUGAUAAAAGCAUUAGACUGUAAAUCUAAUUAUGAGGUAGUAUUCCUCUUUUGCCA